rnacentral:rRNA from 1 species
AUACGUAGGGGGCGAGCGUUACCCGGAAUCACUGGGCGUAAAGGGAGCGUAGGUGGCCUGACAUGUCAACUGUGGAAACCCGGAGCUCAACUCCGGACUUGCAGUUGAAACUGCCAGGCUUGAGGACGGUAGAGGAAGACGGAACUGCCAGUGUAGGGGUAAAAUCCUUAGAUAUUGGCAGGAACGCCGGUGACGAAGGUGGUUUUCUGGGCCGGUUCUGACACUGAUGCUCGAAAGCCAGGGGAGCGAACGGGAUUAGAUACCCCGGUAGUCCUGGCCCUAAACGAUGUUCACUAGGUGUGGGGAGCGAAAAGCUUUCCGUGCUAAAGCUAACGCGAUAAGUGAACCGCCUGGGGAGUACGCCCGCAAGGGUGAA